AUUGAACGCUGGCGGCAUGCUUUACACAUGCAAGUCGAACGGUAACAGGCCUUCGGGUGCUGACGAGUGGCGAACGGGUGAGUAAUGCAUCGGAACGUACCCAGAGGUGGGGGAUAACGCAGCGAAAGCUGUGCUAAUACCGCAUGUGAUCUGAGGAUGAAAGCGGGGGACCGAGCAGCAAUGUUUGGCCUCGCGCCUUUGGAGCGGCCGAUGUCGGAUUAGCUAGUUGGUGGGGUAAAGGCUUACCAAGGCGACGAUCCGUAGCUGGUCUGAGAGGACGACCAGCCACACUGGGACUGAGACACGGCCCAGACUCCUACGGGAGGCAGCAGUGGGGAAUUUUGGACAAUGGGCGCAAGCCUGAUCCAGCAAUGCCGCGUGCGGGAAGAAGGCCUUCGGGUUGUAAACCGCUUUUGGCAGGAACGAAACGGUGUCCGCUAAUACCGGGCGCUAAUGACGGUACCUGCAGAAUAAGCACCGGCUAACUACGUG
rnacentral:rRNA from 1 species